CGUACAUCUGGUUGUCGUGGGGCUUCAGCUGUUUCCUGAGCGCUGCACACGUGGGUUUCAUCGUCACCUGGGUCGUCGCGGCAGCCACGGACAACUUGCGGUGGAUGACGGUGGGAAUUACCGGCGCUGCGGUGCGUAUCCUGGGCAAACUCGUCUACUCCACCAUCCAAACCAUCGAAUCCAUGACAACGGAGCCGACGGUUUCCCAGAUGAUCGCGCUGCUUACUCUGCACAUCGAAGAGCUGCCAGCGAUACUGUUCUCGCCAAUGUAUCCAUCUCUGGUACUAUUAUUAACAGAG
rnacentral:lncRNA from 1 species